UGGAGGAGAGGUCUGCUGAGUUUCUCUGAAACGAAAAGCCUCGGGGCCAUAGCCUAAGUGUAGUGCAGAGAGCUCGAUAAUGUCUCGUAGAGAAGACACCACGAAGACGAAGGUCUGAAAGCAGCAGGUGGCCACGGUGUGUUAGUCACCGAAGAGGAAGGUCUGAAAGCAGCAGGUGGCCACGGUGUGUUAGUCACCGAAGAGGAAGGUCUGAAAGCAGCAGGUGGCCACGGUGUGUUAGUCACCGAAGAGGAAGGUCUGAAAGCAGCAGGUGGCCACGGUGUGUUAGUCAC